rnacentral:ncRNA from 1 species
GGGUGCACGGUCCUGCCAGGAUCGGCAGGUCUUCGCGCUGGUCGGGCCGCCAGCG